rnacentral:tmRNA from 1 species
GGGGGCGACUGGUUUCGACGCGAUAGCUCUGAGAGAGGAAGCAAGCCGUGGUCUCCUCGCCCACGUUAAACUGGGGUACCGUCAAAAUGAAUUGACAACAAUAAUUUCUCUGGGCAGUAUGCCCUCGCCGCUUAAUUAGCUAGCGGCGCGUCAAUCCGGGGAUUUCCCCGACUCCGGGGCGACGUCAUUUUAGGGGAAUGCUCCCGCGCACGUAGUCGGUAUGGCGCGGGCUAAGAUCGAACCAACUAGGAACCUGCGAGCGCGUCGCCGCGCGCAACGGUUCCGAAUCUAAAUCGGCGACUGAGCUUGGAGAUGCCGAUCAGGGAGCUUUCGUGGACCGGAGUUCGAUUCUCCGCGCCUCCACCA